UACGUAGGGCGCAAGCGUUGUCCGGAAUUAUUGGGCGUAAAGAGCUCGUAGGCGGCUUGUCGCGUCGGCUGUGAAAUCCCGUGGCUCAACUGCGGGUCUGCAGCCGAUACGGGCAGGCUAGAGUAUCGGAGAGGUUGGUGGAAUUCUCGGUGUAGAGGUGAAAUUCGUAGAUAUCGAGAGGAACACCGGUGGCGAAGGCGGCCAACUGGACGAAUACUGACGCUGAGACUCGAAAGCGUGGGGAGCAAACAGG
rnacentral:rRNA from 1 species